rnacentral:misc_RNA from 1 species
AAAAAAAAAAAAAAAAAAAAGUGGCAGAACAAUCCAAAAUCAACUCAACACUGUUCAUGUGAAUACAGUAAACAGUACCUGUAACAACACUGAUGAAUAAUACCCGUGAACAGUAUCAAUGAAUAUUACCCAUGAAUAGUACUGAAGCUCUAAUGAAUCAAAGGCUCCAAUCCCAUGUUCAAGAUUUAAGAAUUAGAAGAAGAAAAAAAGAAGGGGGGAAAGGAAGAGAAAGAGCCACAAAGGGCCAUAUCUUUAUUUUCUCAUUAUUUCUAUAAAAUAGAAGAUUACAUAUUUAUAUUCAAAUCUCCUAUAAUUACUCUACUUAAUUAGGAAUAUAAAUCCUAACUAUUUAAGAAUAUAAAUCUUACACUAAAUAGGGAAUAUAAAUCCUAUACUGAAUAGGAAUUUAUAAAAUCUACUAAUUAGGAAUAUAUAACAUCCAUAUUGACUUUUCAUAACACUCCCCCUUAAAAAAGAAUCUCAUCAAUUCCAGCACUCCCCCUUGAUGAGAUUCUCAUUGAAGUCAAUAACUUCCUCACAACAGCUCACAAGGCAGAUUAAGAAACACCAACACAAAGUACCAAAACACAAAGUAACUCACAAGGUUUCACCUCCUCUCCAAAGGCAAUGUCGGCGAGGAAACACCGACAUAAUGCAACUCAUAGGUUUGCACUUCCCUCUCUAAAGGUGACACUAGCAAGAAAAAAGACUAAACAGUAGGUGAACCUUUAUAUAACAGCUCAUAGGUCUGUGAUACAAUGGUUGUUUGAACUUCAACAAACCUUCAAGGGAUUUUCAAAACGAGGCAAUAACUAGGAAUGGCUUAAAAGGGACUUGGUAAUAAAUACAGAAACUGAUAGUUACUUGGAAUAGGAAUCGAAAUUAGUGCACAACAACUCAAAAUCUCCACAGAAAAGUGGCUGAACAACCCAAAAUCUUUGCAAAACUGUUUCUAUGAAUAGUACAGUGAACAGUGGUGAUGAAUAGUACCAAAGCCCUAAUGAAUGGAAGGCCUGAUACCAUUUAAGAAUUUAAGAAUUAGAAGGAG